rnacentral:rRNA from 1 species
UACGGAGGGGGCUAGCGUUGUUCGGAAUUACUGGGCGUAAAGCGCGCGUAGGCGGCUUUUUAAGUCAGGGGUGAAAUCCUGGAGCUCAACUCCAGAACUGCCUUUGAUACUGAGAAGCUUGAGUCCGGGAGAGGUGAGUGGAACUGCGAGUGUAGAGGUGAAAUUCGUAGAUAUUCGCAAGAACACCAGUGGCGAAGGCGGCUCACUGGCCCGAUACUGACGCUGAGGCACGAAAGCGUGGGGAGCAAACAGG